rnacentral:sRNA from 1 species
CCUUGGGCUGCCCACCUACCGCUACCACGUCCUGCUGGGGCUAGUCGUGUCCCUGGGCGGCUUGACGGAGUCGACGGUGAGGAGGCGUCGGGCUGGCUGGGGCAGGAGGUGGCUCCAGGAGUGCCUGGUGCUUCCCUGUCUCUUGGGAGUGUGUAUGGAGCUGGGCCUUUUCUUCCAUUGCUUUCUAUCUCUCUCGGGCAUAUUUGGUUAGGGGGUCAGGGGCCCAGUGUCUUCCUCAUGACCCAGGAGGCUUAGGGCCUGUGGGAUGGUUGAGUCUGAUGAAGGUGGGACAGGGCCAGCGCCACUCUCUUCCUGUGGCCGCAGCCCUGGAGCUCCCAGCGUCCCCUCGGGGUUCAACCCUCCAGGACCUGUGUCUGAUGCCUGCAUGUGGGUACCUGGGCUCCAUCAGGUUCUAGAUCGGCCUCCGCCGUCCACUUUCAGGGCUCCAGGCCCAGCUUCCCAUGUCUGUGGGGAGGGUCUCCAGAGCCUCAGUCUGUGGCUGAGCUGUGGAACUUGAAGGCCUCUCUGCAUCUUGUCACUCGUGGCCCCUGCACCUUGGGUCAUGACCUGCUUUAUGUGGCAACCCUGUGACAGCUGCUAAGUCCUAGAAAACACGUAACAGGACGUGAGGUGCCCUCUGCACCGUGCGGGCGCGUGCGGGGAGACCCGGGCCACAGGACGUGAGGUGCCUUCUGCGCCGUGCGGGCGCGUGCGGGGAGACCCGGGCCACAUGCGAGCGGGGCCCCGAGACAUUCUGCACUCGGGAAUUGCGGGGAUUAUCAAAUCCCGCUUCAGUGGGAAACGUGAGCGAAACCCAAGGUGAGUGGCCGCAGCCUUUCGUCACGUGCUCUCCCGCAUGUCCUAAGUGAGGGCUCAGGCUGAGCUGCCGUUGCCGAGAGCCUUGUGUCUGCUUCGGGUGUCUGCACUGUGAGUGGCUCUGUGCUGGCGUCCGCACCAGCCGCUUGGGGCCAGACCUUCGCGUCUCUGCAGCUCGGAGCAGUUCUGCUCUUCAGCAGAUGCUUGACCGGCUGUAGCCAAGCCUGAGGGGUGGCAGGCUCGGGGGUCCCACUGCCUUCUGAGGUGUCUCCGUGUUGCAGAUCCGGCACUCCACCCAGAGCCUCUUUGAGUACAUGAAGGGCAUUCAGAGCGACCCGCAGGCCCUGGGCAGCUUCAGCGGGACCCUUCUGCAGAUCUUUGAGGACAACCUUCUGAAUGAGAGGGUGUCCGUGCCGCUGCUGAAGACGCUGGACCAUGUGCUCACCCACGGCUGCUUCGACAUCUUCACCACGGAGGAGGACCACCCCUUUGCUGUGAAGUUGCUUGCGCUUUGUAAGAAAGAAAUCAAGAAUUCAAAAGAUAUCCAGAAGCUCCUGUCAGGCAUCGCAGUGUUCUGCGGGAUGGUGCAGUUCCCCGGCGACGUGAGGAGGCAGGCCCUCCUGCAGCUGUGUCUGCUCCUCUGCCACCGUUUCCCGCUGAUCCGGAAGACCACGGCCAGCCAGGUGUACGAGACAUUGCUCACCUACAGUGACGUCGUGGGCGCGGACGUGCUGGAUGAGGUGGUGACUGUGCUCAGUGACACCGCGUGGGACGCGGAGCUUGCAGUGGUGAGAGAGCAGCGCAACCGUCUGUGUGACCUUCUGGGCGUGCCCAGGCCCCAGCUGGUGCCCCAGCCUGGUGCCUGCUGAAGCCAGUCCUGGAGCCCAUACCUCACCCCUGCCUGGUGACGAUGUCUUGUUCCUGAGGGAGGCCGGUGUGGAAAGCCUCGCACAGUGGUGCCUCCAGCUGUUGAAGGGCAGCGCUGGCCCUUGGAGGCUGGCACUAGCUGACAGCUUUUCCUCUCUGCACCUGCGCUCUGGUGACUUGGGGUGGACGCCUCUGCCUUCACUUGAACACAAAUGUGCUUCCUAUAAAAUCAUGUACCAAGAA